AUUGAACGCUGGCGGCAUGCCUUACACAUGCAAGUCGAACGGCAGCACGGGUGCUUGCACCUGGUGGCGAGUGGCGAACGGGAGAGUAAUACAUCGGAACGUACCUUAUCGUGGGGGAUAACGCAGCGAAAGCUGUGCUAAUACCGCAUACGCCCUGAGGGGGAAAGCGGGGGAUCGAAAGACCUCGCGCGAUUAGAGCGGCCGAUGCCUGAGUAGCUGGUUGGGGGGGUAAAAGCCCACCAAGGCGACGAUCAGUAGCUGGUCUGAGAGGACGAUCAGCCACACGGGGACUGAGACACGGCCCAGACUCCUACGGGAGGCAGCAGUGGGGAAUUUUGGACAAUGGGGGCAACCCUGAUCCAGAAAUGCCGCGUGAGUGAAGAAGGCCUUCGGGUUGUAAAGCUCUUUUGUCAGGGAAGAAACACCGGCUCUAACACAGUCCGGGAAUGACGGUACCUGAAGAAUAAGCACCGGCUAACUACGUGCCAGCAGCCGCCGUAA
rnacentral:rRNA from 1 species